rnacentral:lncRNA from 1 species
UCUAGCAUGUUUAUGAUGAACUAGCCAUCCAGUGCAUGUAAAAAUAGAUGGGACGCAAGAUUGUUUUCCGAUGCAUCAAAGCUUAAUUAAGAUGUGCAUCCACAACACGAUCGCUAAUCACCACGGUGGCAUAAGAUGGACCAACAUGCUUAUUUUCAGUGCAUGCAGCGACCUUUGAGCUUUGGAGGAGCGCUCACUGUUUGACGUGCAGUCGCGAAACAACUAGGAAGUGUAGGAGUCACCGUGUGACUCAUUUAUUGGUACAUGAAACAAAGCCCGCUAAGUCUUGCCAUGGGACUAUCGCUGCUCCUCAAAGCAAAAAAUGUUGGUGAGCUCGGGUGGCUUCCCAGGGUCGCCGGUUGCUGGCUCUGCCCUUCAUCAUCAGUGGUCGAAGUUAGAAGGGGAAGGAAGGUUAAACGAGGCCAGCCCUCCUCCCUUUCUUUGUUUCACUGGGAUGUAUUACUCAUUCUGGUGCCUUCCAUUCCUACGAUAAUCCGGAAAAAGGUUCUGGUCAAGCACGCACAGCACACAGCAAACCAGCAAGCCAAGACGAUGUACUACUAAAAAGCUUAUCGUCUUCCCAAGAUAGCAAGAUAGGAUAUCCGCGUUACAAUUUAUAAACGCAUACAAGCCAAGAUGAUGUACUACUAAAAAGCUUAUCGUCUUUCGAAGAUAGCAAGAUAGGACAUCCGCGUUACAAUUUAUAAACGCAUACAUGCCACCUGUGUGGUUCUGAGGGCACACGCACCUGCCAACUAGCAUAAUUGAAUUAUUGGUACUGCGUGUUUGGUUACCAAAGUUACGCUUUCAUAACUCAAUAUGCUAUUCCAUAAUUGUGACAUUUCUCUAUCAUCCCUCCCGUGGCUUUUAAAGGUUGUAAGUGCAUUUGUAACCGAUUCCUAAAAAAUAAUGAAGUGUUCGGUCUUCGAUGGAGUAAAUCCUUAGUGAAGUAUGUUUGUUCCAAUAAAUUUUAAUCGGAUCUAGUCGAUCCCCUAUAUUUUAUGGAGUAAUUUUUUGUUUUUUUCUGAACUCUGCAAUUCUAGUAUAAAUUCCAACUACAUACUACUCCCUCCGUCUCAAUUUACAAGUCCGGCACAUCUACGCUAUCUGCAUAAUUGUUCUCUAUCAUCCCUCCCGUGGCUUUUAAAGGUUGUAAGUGCAUUUAUAACCGAUUCCCUAAAAAUAAUGAAG